GACGAAGGGGGCUAGCGUUGUUCGGAAUUACUGGGCGUAAAGCGCGUGUAGGCGGUUGUCCAAGUUGGAUGUGAAAGCCUUGAGCUCAACUCAAGAAAUGCAUUCAGGACUGGAUGACUAGAGGACCGGAGAGGAUAGUGGAAUUCCCAGUGUAGUGGUGAAAUACGUAGAGAUUGGGAAGAACACCAGUGGCGAAGGCGGCUAUCUGGACGGUUUCUGACGCUAAGACGCGAAAGCGUGGGGAGCAAACAGGG
rnacentral:rRNA from 1 species